GAAAGGUAUAAAACACAGAGGUUACAUUUGCUCAACACUUGGGAAAAAUGUGUGGUUCUGCUUGGGUGUGCGGAGGGGGGAGUUAUUCCUGAGUUGUUUGGGCAGGCAGGCCCAGGGGGCAGUGUCAGGAUUGCUGUGGGUGCUUGUAGGUCCAGCACAGAGUGGUUUCUGUCCCAGAGGAGGCCGGGCUGCCGUGUCAGAGUGUGCCCCAGCACGCCCCUGGGUGCAGACCUUCAGCACCCAGUGGGGACCUUGUGGCUGUCUUGGCAGCCACACUACUCUGCUUUUCCAGCAAACCAUGGGAGAAAACAUCUCUCAGCUCCUCAAACAAAGCAUUCAGGACCACCAGCACUUCCUCCUCUGUCAUUGCUCCAGCUGUGUGAAUGCUGACUGGAGAAAAACCCCCGUGGGUGCACUGCCUUGUCCCCUGAGCAUCGCUGAGCUCCAGAGCACAGGGUCCAGCCAUGUAACACAGCCAGGCAGGUGUGCUCAGAGAUUUCAGACACCACGUCCUUCUUCCUAUUUUUUAAAACAUGCUUUCCAUUUUUCUGAUUAAAGUUCCAUGGAAGAAGAGAGUAAUGGUGUCUUUCUGUUUGCAUGGCUUGCAUAUGAGGAAUUUACAGGGACAAAAUUUUAUAUUAUGUGACUUUUUG
rnacentral:lncRNA from 12 species